UCCGGCUUAUCACCGGCGGUUUCUUUAGAGUGCCCAACUAAAUGAUGGCAACUAAUGACAAGGGUUGCGCUCGUUGCGGGACUUAACCCAACAUCUCACGACACGAGCUGACGACAGCCAUGCAGCACCUGUGUUACGGUUCUCUUUCGAGCACUCCCUGAUCUCUCAAGGAUUCCGUACAUGUCAAGGGUAGGUAAGGUUUUUCGCGUUGCAUCGAAUUAAUCCACAUCAUCCACCGCUUGUGCGGGUCCCCGUCAAUUCCUUUGAGUUUUAAUCUUGCGACCGUACUCCCCAGGCGGUCAACUUCACGCGUUAGCUGCGUUACCAAGUCAAUUAAGACCCGACAACUAGUUGACAUCGUUUAGGGCUAGGACUAC
rnacentral:misc_RNA from 1 species